rnacentral:tRNA from 1 species
ACUUUGAUAGCUUAAAAAAGAGUGAGGCAUUGAAGCUGCCUAGGUGGGCUUAGCCCUCGAAGUG